rnacentral:rRNA from 1 species
AUUGAACGCUGGCGGAAUGCUUUACACAUGCAAGUCGAGCGGCAGCGCGGUCUUCGGACUGGCGGCGAGCGGCGAACGGGUGAGUAAUACAUCGGAACAUGCCCAGUCGUGGGGGAUAACACUUCGAAAGAAGUGCUAAUACCGCAUACGUCCUGAGGGAGAAAGCGGGGGAUCGCAAGACCUCGCGCGAUUGGAGUGGCCGAUGUCAGAUUAGCUAGUUGGUGGGGUAAAGGCCUACCAAGGCAACGAUCUGUAGCUGGUCGGAGAGGAUGAUCAGCCACACUGGGACUGAGACACGGCCCAGACUCCUACGGGAGGCAGCAGUGGGGAAUUUUGGACAAUGGGGGCAACCCUGAUCCAGCCAUUCCGCGUGAGUGAAGAAGGCCUUCGGGUUGUAAAGCUCUUUCGGCAGGAACGAAACGCCGAGCUCUAACAUAGCUCGCUAAUGACGGUACCUGAAGAAGAAGCACCGGCUAACUACGUGCCAGCCGCCGCCGUAAGAC